rnacentral:rRNA from 1 species
UACAGAGGUCUCGAGCGUUGUUCGGAUUCAUUGGGCGUAAAGGGCGCGUAGGCGGACUCGCCAGUCUGUGGUGAAAGCCCCCAGCUUAACUGGGGAAGUGCCGUGGAUACUGCGAGUCUGGAGGAGGGUAGGGGCAUCUGGAACGCUGGGUGGAGCGGUGAAAUGCGUUGAUAUCCAGCGGAACUCCGGUGGCGAAGGCGAGGUGCUGGACCCUUUCUGACGCUGAGGCGCGAAAGCCAGGGGAGCAAACGGG